AUUGAACGCUGGCGGCAGGCCUAACACAUGCAAGUCGAACGAGUGGCGGAUGGGUGAGUAAUGUAUGGGAAACUGCCUGAUAGAGGGGGAUAACUUCUGGAAACGGUCGCUAAUACCGCAUACCAUCAGAUGUGCCCAGGGGGGAUUAGCUAGUUGGUGGGGUAACGGCCCACCUAGGCGACGAUCCCUAGCUGGUCUGCGAGGAUGACCAGCCACACUGGAACUGAGACACGGUCCAGACUCCUACGGGAGGCAGCAGUGGGGAAUAUUGCACAAUGGGCGCAAGCCUGAUGCAGCCAUGCCGCGUGUAUGAAGAAGGCCUUCGGGUUGUAAAGUACUUUCAGCGGGGAGGCGUUACUCGCAGAAGAAGCACCGGCUAACUCCGUGCCAGCAGCCGCGGUAAUUC
rnacentral:rRNA from 1 species